rnacentral:misc_RNA from 1 species
GUUAGAUUUCAUUGAAUACGUCAAAAGAUAACUGCAACUUAGGGCAUAAAUUUUGAAUCUGCAUCUGGUGAGGCUUCGUGGUAUUUGGAAAUCUAGGUCCUCAAUCUUUCGUGGAAGACAAGGGUUUUUACUUAUUAUCUUAUUGAUUAGAUACUCUUUUGUUUUCCCUGGAGGAAUUUUUUUGCUGUUGAUAUUUUUAGUUGCUGAGAAAAUCGAGAGAUUUAAUAAAAUUUUAUGGAACAAAUUCUGCUUUUUUGGGGAAAUAGUAUAACUCCUAAUUGCUGAUUUAUGACCGAGUAAAUUAACUUUUGAAUGCAGGGUUGACGUUGCUGUUUUCCGGUUCAAGGUUGUGGGUAUUGGGGUU